CACUUGACACAACCUCUCCAAAUACAUUUGACAAUGCUUAUUUCAAGAACUUGCAAAACCAAAAAGGUCUCUUUCACUCUGAUCAAGUGCUUUUCGAUGAAGUAACCACAAAAUCACAAGUUAAUUCUUAUGUUAGAAACCCUUUGAGUUUCAAAGUUGAUUUUGCCAAUGCAAUGUUCAAAAUGGCGAACCUUGGCCCACUUACGGGGUCUAGUGGUCAAGUUCGAAAAAAUUGUAGGAGUGUCAACUAAAAUUCUUGGCCUUCUAUUGUAUAAGUGCAAUACAAGGUUAUAAGCUACUCUCUAUAUUGUAAUCAUAAAUCGCAUCAAACUCAAUGUCAUAUCGUCAAUCAGUAUCAAUAAUAAUGUUGGUACCUAUUUAAUUACUUAAUCUUGUUGGUCCAAGUGCUAUGAGGUUUGAAAACCAUAUAUAUAUAUAUAUAUAUAUAUAUAUAUAUAUAUAUAUAUAUAUAUGCAAGUAGUCUUGAGAAGAGUUGAUUUUUUCCUUUAAAUUUGUCUCGCUUAACAACCUUGAGGUUUUUUUUUUGUCUUUUCGUUCAUUUAAUUUGAACUAUCGAACCGAACCGAGUUGUUCAAAUCAAAUGGAUAACUCUUUGUAUCCUAAGUAGAUUUUUGAUUAUCCCUAAUGACUUUUUUGAAUGGAUUAUCUCUAAUGACUUGAUUGCUAAAGUGAUCCCUUCUUCCUUGAUUAAUCAGGAUGAUUUCAAUAUAUCCGAAAUACCUUCUUUUGAAGAUGUCAAGGCCUCUUAAUAGGGAUGAUGUUCACUUGGUUAACCUAAGCUUUUUAAACAUGACAAAUAAGAAAAUAUUAACAUAAUUCUUUAAAAAUAAUUCGAUAUUUAGUUAAGAUCUCAUUUUUAGUUAAUGGCAAGCAUGGUUUAUUUCUUUUCCAAAAGAGGGUGUAAGGCAUGGGAGUUUUUAUUUCUCCUUUUCUUUUAAAUUCUUGCAUCAUUGAUUUGGAAGUGUAAAGGAUUGAAGAGUAAGAGUGUAAUUUGAUUUCGCAUGCAACUCUUGCUAAUUUGGAAGGUGAGGAAUGAUAACCAAAGUUAGCACAAAAAUCCAAAAUUUGGGGAGGUAGUUGACCAAAAUGUCUUGAACAAAAAAUCAGCUUGGCACUAAAAAAAUAAAUGAAAAAAAAAAAUCUUAAAAAAGAAGUGAUGAAAAUGACAAUAUAAUUAAUUAAAAUGAAUUCCGUAGAAAUUAUUAUCUCCAAUAAUUUUGUUCAUGUAUACUGUUUUUUAUUUUUAGGGAUGUGAUGCAUCAGUACUGUUGGACGAUACAUCAAGUUUCAUAGGUGAAAAAACAGCAGGUCCAAAUGCUAAUUCAUUGAGACGCUUUGAUGUAAUUGACAAAAUAAAGUCUGAAAUAGAGAAGUUAUGCCCUAAUACUGUCUCUUGUGCUGAUAUUCUUGUUGUGGCAGCAAGAGAUUCCGUGAUUGCUGUAAGUAUAAAUACUUCAAAUCAAAACUUUUCUUUAAGGGAUACUUCAAGCUAAAAAAUAGAGUUUUUCGUCAUAAUUUUUAAUUCAACGGUUGAUAUAUGAUGAUAAUGGAUCAUGACUCAUAUUGUAUGUGUCUAUAUAUUAUUUGACUAUAAACAUAACUAUUUUUGAAGUCAGACAUGCGAGUGGUUGUGAUAUGUCAGCCGUAUAAAACUUUUUAAGGAUAUAAUUAAAAAUAUAUUUUUGGUAGGAUGGUUAUGGUGUACUCUCUGGUGGUUCGGGAGUUGAGGAGUGCCUGAGUGAUUCGUCUCUGGGGUAGGUAUGGUGUGUCGAUCGCUUUUACUUAGAGAUUGGGAGUCAAUUUCUAGAAAUUUGUUAUGUGGGCUUAUUAUGGUGUCUUCUUCGGCGGAAUGGGGAUCGAUUGGUGGUGCAAUUUGUAUCGGUGCUGGAUUAAGUGUUUAUCAGGUGUUUAUUUGGGCUCGACGUCGGAUAGAGAAGGUGUUUGAUGAGUUUUUGGAGAUUUUCGUGCGAGUAGCAGACGUCAGGUGUUUGGAACGAGUUUAGGUGGACAUUCCAGCGGACCAGUGGCGGAUCUCUAUAGAGACCCACAGGUGCCAUGACACCCCUCAACUUAUCUAUAAAUACUAUAUUACUCAUAACAUAUUAUAAGUAUUUCAUUGUCGCAGCGGAAAGUGAAGGCUUUUUGCAACUAUAGGUCGCGAGUUCAAUUUCUAUUGGCUCCCUUUUAUGUGUAUUUUUAUUUUUAUUAAAACAAAGUGUUUGUCUGGAGCUCGAACCAGUGUCCACAAGGUACUGGGCAUAAACAAAGUGAACCACUACACCAUCUUACAAACAAUGUCAAACAUUUGAAAGAGUGUGUAUAUUUUCUACGACUAUUUGGCACCCCGAACAAAAUCAGUCAAGAUCCGCCACUGCAGUGGAGGUCGGGUGUUUGGAGAGUUUAGGUGGACAUUCGAGUAGGAGCAUGAGGUUUUCCCUCAACUUAGGUUUUUCAGUUGUCUGAGGUUUGGCGUUGAUUUUUAUGUGUUGGUUUUCGUCUUGGUGGUUAGUUUUUAUUGGGUUUGGUGAUAGACGUCAAUUAAAUGAUGUCUUUAUUAUGUAGGAGCUUACUUUUAGCCCUUUACUUAUUUCUGUCUUGCCAAUCUCUAUUCUUCUUGAACAGUGAUCUGGUUUUAAUAAAUUUUGUUGUUUAAUUUUUUUUUAUAUAAGUUGAACAUACAAGUAAUUUUACAUUGCCGGUAUAAAACUUUUUACAACAACAAUGUAUGAAAAUUAAUCACAUAUUAUAAGGAAAAGAAAAUUUUUGUAGUUCUUGACAAAAACAAAAUUGUACUUGAAGUUAUAGUCAACCAAGUAUUUCUCUAUACACUAACAUAUUGAACACAUUUCAGCUUGGUGGUCCUAGUUGGACUGUUCAAUUAGGAAGAAGGGAUUCAACCACAGCAAGUUUUAGUUUAGCUAACUUAGACUUGCCAGGUCCUUCCUCUGAUUUAAUGAAUUGAUUGCUCUUUCAGGUAGCAAGCUAAACUUAUAGAUGCAUAUUUAUCAAAUGUUUUAGAUUAUUAUUUUUAUUAUUACUAGCGCACUCUCGUGUUCGUCUAUCCGGUUUUUAUACCAUUGUUGUGUAACUAACCUUAUUGUAUUAUAGGAUCACACACAAUUGGUGAAGCUAGUUGUAGAUUCUUCAGAACAAGGAUUUACAAUGAGAACAACAUAGAUUCAUCUUACAAUUGGUGAUUUAAAUUUGUCACCGCUUGACACCAUCACUCCAGAGACAUUUGACAUUGCUUAUUUCAAGAACUUGCAAAAUCAAAAGGGUCUCUUUCACUCUGAUCAAGUGCUUUUCGAUGAAGAAACCACAAAAUCACAAGUUAAUUCUUAUGUUAGGAACUCUUUAAGUUUCAGAGCUGAUUUUGCCAAUUCAAUGAUCAAAAUGGGGAACAUUGGCCUACUUAUAUUACUGGGUCUAGAGGUCAAAUUAGGGAAAAUUGUAGGAGUAUUAACUAAAGUUUUUUGCUUCUAUUACAAGUGCAAUACAAGGUUAUGAGCAUUAUAUGGAUUGUAAGCAUAAAUCGCAUCAAACUCGAUGUCAUAUCGUAAAUCAGUAUCAAUAAUAACGUUGGUACCUGUUUAACUAUUAAUUUUUCUAUCGUGUAAUGUUAAAAAUAAAAAAUGGAUUUGUCCAAGUGUGGUGGGGUUUGAUUUCCAACUCAUGUAUACGAAAAAAAA
rnacentral:lncRNA from 1 species